AGAGUUUGAUCAUGGCUCAGAACGUACGCUGGCGGCACGCCUAAUACAUGCAAGUCGAACGAAGUAGCAAUACUUAGUGGCAGACGGGUGAGUAACAUGUAGGUAUCUUCCCAUUGGUGAGGAAUAACACGAGGAAACUUGUGCUAAUACCUCAUAAGUCUUUACGGAGAAAGCUUUAUGCGCCGAUGGAUGAGCCUGCACUUGAUUAGUUUGUUGGUAGGGUAAUGGCCUACCAAGACAAUGAUCAAUAGCUGAUUUGAGAGGAUGAUCAGCCACAUUGGGACUGAGACACGGCCCAAACUCCUACGGGAGGCAGCAGUAGGGAAUCUUGCACAAUGGGGGAAACCCUGAUGCAGCGAUGCCGCGUGAGUGAAGAAGGCCUUUGGGUUGUAAAGCUCUUUCGUCGGGGAAGAAAAUGACUGUACCCGAAUAAGAAGGUCCGGCUAACUUCGUGCCAGCAGCCGCGGUAAUACGAAGGGACCUAGCGUAGUUCGGAAUUACUGGGCUUAAAGAGUUCGUAGGUGGUUAAAAAAGUUGGUGGUGAAAUCCCAGAGCUUAACUCUGGAACUGCCAUCAAAACUUUUUAGCUAGAGUAUGAUAGAGGAAAGCAGAAUUUCUAGUGUAGAGGUGAAAUUCGUAGAUAUUAGAAAGAAUACCAAUUGCGAAGGCAGCUUUCUGGAUCAUUACUGACACUGAGGAACGAAAGCAUGGGUAGCGAAGAGGAUUAGAUACCCUCGUAGUCCAUGCCGUAAACGAUGUGUGUUAGACGUUGGAAAUUUAUUUUCUGUGUCGCAGCGAAAGCAAUAAACACACCGCCUGGGGAGUACGACCGCAAGGUUAAAACUCAAAUGAAUUGACGGGGACCCGCACAAGUAGUGGAGCAUGUGGUUUAAUUCGAAGAUACGCGCAGAACCUUACCAACACUUGACAUGUUCGUCGCGACUUUAAGAGAUUAAAGUUUUCGGUUCGGCCGGACGAAACACAGGUGCUGCAUGGCUGUCGUCAGCUCGUGUCGUGAGAUGUUGGGUUAAGUCCCGCAACGAGCGCAACCCUCACUUUUAGUUGCCAUCAUUUAGUUGGGCACUCUGAAAGAACUGCCAGUGAUAAGCUGGAGGAAGGUGGGGAUGACGUCAAGUCCUCAUGGCCCUUACGUGUUGGGCUACACACGUGCUACAAUGGCAUUUACAAUAGGAAGCAAGACGGCGACGUUAAGCAAAUCCUAAAAAAAUGCCUCAGUUCGGAUUGUACUCUGCAACUCGAGUACAUGAAGCUGGAAUUACUAGUAAUCGCGGAUCAGCGCGCCGCGGUGAAUACGUUCCCGGGUCUUGUACACACCGCCCGUCACACCAUGGGAGUUGGUUCUACCUUAAGGCAAAGUUUAAUACCUUUGACCACGGUAUAGUCAGCGACUGGGGUGAAGUCGUAACAAGGUAGCCGUAGGGGAACCUGCGGCUG
rnacentral:rRNA from 1 species